AGAGUUUGAUCCUGGCUCAGGAUGAAUGCUGGCGGCGUGCCUAACACAUGCAAGUCGAGCGGUAACAGGAGUAAUUUAUUACUUGCUGACGAGCGGCGAACGGCUGAGUAACACGUGGGAACAUGCCCCAAAGUGAGGGAUAACUGCUCGAAAGAGUAGCUAAUACCGCAUAUGAUCUUCGGAUUAAAGGAUUUAUCCGCUUUGGGAGUGGCCUGCGUACGAUUAGAUAGUUGGUGAGGUAAUGGCUUACCAAGUCUACGAUCGUUAGCUGGUCUGAGAGGAUGACCAGCCAGACUGGAACUGAGACACGGUCCAGACUCCUACGGGAGGCAGCAGUGAGGAAUCUUCCACAAUGGGCGAAAGCCUGAUGGAGCAACGCCGCGUGCAGGUAGAAGGCCUACGGGUCAUGAACUUCUUUUCCCGGAGAAGAAGCAAUGACGGUAUCCGGGGAAUAAGCAUCGGCUAACUCUGUG
rnacentral:rRNA from 1 species